GAGGUUGCAGUGAGCCGAGAUCACACCACUGCACUCCAGCCUGGGCGAUAGAGCAAGAAUCCAUCUCAGAAAAAAAGGAGUAAGUUGGUGGAGGCCACUGCUGCAUUGCAGAGAAUGUAUUUGGAGGGUUUGCUUGUUUUGAUGACAUAAGUUCUCUGUAACAAUUAAAGAAUAAAAUAAGUUAUGGAACCAACCUGUGUUAGGCAGCUCCUCUAACUAAAGCAAUAUUGGAAAUGGAGUGUGUGUGUGCGUGUGUGUGUGUGUGUGUUCAGAGAUCACUGUUGAGCACCAAGUAGCUGGUGAAGAUCAUUAGUGACAAUUCCUGGAACUUGGCCAGGCUGCUGGCUUUGAAGCAAAGCUCAUUGCAACACGUGUUCCUGCUGGGCUGGAUGUCUGUGUGAAAUGGAUGGCAACAGGAUGUUCUGGCAGCUGAAAUGAAGAUCCUGAAGGCAGAAGAGAAGCUUUAAUGACUGCCCAAGCAGAGCAGUAGUUCUGGGGAUGGUUGGGAAAUUCAGUAGAUGUUAUGGUGACUCAAGGUUCUUUGGGACAUCUAGGAGGCUGUGAGGCAGACCAAGCAAUGAGGAGCACAAGUUGCUACAAGUCCUGAACUAGGUUAGCCAUGGGCUACAGAAGGAGCAAACACAUGGAUUUUGCCCUCCAGCAACUUAAAUUUGAUUGGGAAAACAAGAUCCAUAAAAUAAGACAGUUUGUUGUUAAGGGCUAAGUUAGGUGAAAAAGACUGAGUUCUAGGCAUUUUUUAGAUCAGAUUUUUUUUUUUAUAAUGGGGAUUGGUAUGGGCCUUUGAAGUAUGGAAUGAUCACCUGAAACACAGCUUGAUGUGUGUAAUCCAAGUCAAGAUUCAUCUCACUCAAAGUGCUAAAUAAUUAGCUUAAUACAGAAAGCCAUAAGCAGAGUAUCAAGAGAUCUGGCUCUAGCCCCAUUUGUCUCCUUAGGUAUAUCAUUGAAUCCCUCAUGCUUCCUCUUGUCUUUCUAAAUCGACCUGUUAAGGCUGUCUCUUGGCAAAUAAAAACAGAGGCAUGUCUUUCCUCAUAGCCAAAUAUGGUUGGGCUUUUCCAUCCAUUUCUUUUCUUCCUUAUUAAAGGCGCUAAAAUAAAUUUUCAGAGAUGUUAGGUCACCUAUGAUUAGAAAUUUAUUUUAGAUGAUGAUUAAGGUAUUUCUUAGCGCUCAGCUAAAUUCUGAAGAAUACAAAGAGGCACAAGAGAUGAGAAUCUGUUCAUUUGUGUUGUUAUUGAAAUAAAACACUGGAUGUGAAAUCUGUGAACUGAGAUCUCAGUAGGGUAAUCUACCACUUGCCAGCUACUAGACCUAGGUGUGCUUCUACUGCUUGUAACCUACUAUAGAUCUGAAGGCUUAAAUAAAAUAAUUAUAUGAAGGCAUUUAUCUUUUGGACUACACAAAAAAAACAGAUAAGGUGGAUCUAUUUAGCUGAGUAGACAGGCAUGUCAUAUAUAAAAAUUAGUAAAAUAGAGUAGUAUAAGAUGAAAAUAUUAGGUAAUAUUAUUCGAGUACUUAGUAUGCACCAGGCAAUGUAUUAAGUAUUUUAUAUGCAUUAUGUCAACCCUGAUCUCGUAGUGUUGGAACUAAAAUCUUCAUCUAAGUUGCUAUUUUUAUGUUUAAACGUCUAGAGAAACUGAAGGAUUCUUAAAAAGCACUGAUUUGGACCUCCUUCCUUGUUAGUUGUAUUUUCUUUUAAAACACUCUUUUCUAAAAGUAAUGGAAUUUGGGGGAUAAAACCUGGAGGUGGCUGUAAAUUGACCAGAAGGUUUACAAGUACCCAUAAGGACUGGCACUGUGUUAGACACUGUGGGCAAAUGCAUUCAGCUCUGGGCCUCCAUCUGUAUUUCCCUUUGUGAACUCUUUUGCUGAAUGUCCCAUCAUCCUUUGUCGAGAUGAGGUCCUGUUCAUCCUGUCUGCUUUCACGACAUAAAUGUUUUAGGAACUCUCCACAGACUGGCUGGAUUGUCUGUUUGGGCUGAGAACAGAUUGUGUGGGUGAUGAGACAAGUAGGAAAAGACUCAGCGAUCAAAAAAGGGGGAAGGAAAGCUCUUUCUGUUUCUCUUAGAAUGGAGCUUGGAUACAAAGGGCACUUCGUUAAUCAUGCCUCCUUUGUAAUCAGAAUGGUGGAGGCAUUUUUUUAAACCACUACUAUUUUGUCCUCUGUCUCAUCCAAGUUAAACCAACUGUGCAAUAGCUAAUCGAGGGGUUAAAAAUUUCCCAGAUGCAGCCAGGCAGAAUCAACUUCAGUAGAUAAAGGAAUCGUUUGAUGGUGAUUCGAAAGCCGUCAGGUGUAGCGCCAGGCUUCUUGCAGACAUGGCACUGGUCUGGUAGGAUACUCAUGUCCGGGAUCUUCGUGGUGGCAGAUUUGUGAUUAGAUGAUGGAAAGCUCAUGUGGGGUGAAUUUGGGAAGAUAUCUGUAAGACUUAGGGGUUUUGGUAAGUUUAGAGAAUUCAGUCACUUUGCACUGUGUCCCUAGAACAAUCACUGAAUGGAAAAUCCAGGGAUCUCAAUUUACUGAACGACCUUGGGCAACUUGUUUAAUCUUUCUGUAGUUGCUUUCUUAGAAAUCAAAGAAGGAUAACAAUCUUUGGUGCCCACUUAAUGGGUGUUGUAUAAAAUAAUUAGAUUGUAAAUGCUUUGAGUGCCCUGGAGAUGAAGAGAUAGGGAAAAUUCUCUUAGGUGUUCUUCAUGCUGAAUAUGCAAAAAUGAGUAAGUAUAGUUUUUGUUGUUUUUUAAGAAAAACCUGUCAUUUUUUCAGCACCUCUUUUUUUUUUUCCCCCAAAGGAGGCUGUGUGCCUCAGUAGAGGUUGACUUUGUAACAGUUUUAUUUUCCUGGACAGGUCCUGCAUAUUUACAAUGUGGUUGGUUUUCCAAGAGGAAUGUUUGGGUUUAGACUUGUCCUAUCCAUUCACUGAAUCUAGGGGUGAGAUGUUUUUAAUGAAUUGUUGGUGUAGAGCAAAUAAAGAGCAAUGAAACAAAAGGUAGUAUUCGUGGUUAGAAAGGGACUAAUCAACUAUUACUCUAACUAUCCCCUAGCUGGAUGGUUGCCGAUUUUCUUUUUAAAAUCAAAUGCAGUUUUCAGGCCAAAGCAGCGGGAGGUGGCGGUACAUUCCAAGAAAGAGGCAUCAGAGCGUCUGAGGGUUGCAAGACAGCAGAAAGCCGCUUGAUUCUUGGUGGGGUUUUUUGUUUGUUGUGUUUGUUUCUGAUUUUACCCUUACGCCUUAUCCCAUGAUCAUCUACUCAGAACAGAGGGAAAACAUCCCCCACAAGGUUCCUCCUCCCUUUGGUUUGGUGUCACCUAAAUGGCAUUUCCUUCCCAGGUGAGAUUGUAGUUUACCUCUCCUCUUAUACUGAUGAGCAGCUGGGGCUUUCUGCCCGGUGGACCUUCCAUUUGUCUGUUUACAACAGGGAUCCCCAAUUUGCUAAUUCUCUGGAGAAACAGAUUUUGGCUGGGGAGAGGGCCUGGGAAUUUGUCCACCCCAGUCUCACCCACACUGGGUCUCCCAACAGAGACGACUUUCCUGUCAGCAUCUCCCCAUUCUAGCAGCUUGUUGCUCUCUAGACAGCUUGUUUAAUGUUUCAAUCCAGUUGGAACACACGAUGGUUAAAUGUUCUUUCUUAUCAUUCAGUGGAAAACUGGCUUCCAUGACCACAUUAUAAUUUCCACUCACUAAUGCUGGAUUUUCCUUUUAGAAUAAUCUAGAAUGUGUGCUUCACUUUAGUUAGAUAGUAGCCUUUCAAAUAACUGAUGAUGACUAUCAUUUCUCUCCUUUGACUUUCUUCUCCAGUUAAAAUACCUCUGGUCUGGUUUAGACUCCUGACCAUACUUGCUGUCCCUUUCUGGUGAUUGCAUUCCCAGUCAAGGUUAAGUUUACCUCUGCUACCAUGGCAACCAGCUACUGCUUGUGGUUGCUACUUAAAGGAAACCACCAUUUUCUGGUUUUCUGUAGAAAAUCCAUAAUUCAGAAAUUAGCUUGUUGCUGUCCCUAGAAUAAAGACAUCCAUACUGCUGAUGGUCUGCACAGUACAGACAGCACCACCCUCUACGACAGUCUACAUGCUGGACUUGCCGUUUGAACUCAUGCAACUUGGGGUAAAUGUAUUUCUUGUGUAUCCCUGUAUUAGUUUUUCUCAUUCGGGGAAAUAAUGUGGCCUGAGACAAAGCGAGACUGUGGACCUUGGAGAGAUUAGCUUCAAACCCCAGUUCAGACUCUUAUUGGCUGUGACCUUGGAUGAGUUAUUUUCAUUUUUCAGGUCUUCAUUUUACUCAUCUCUGAAUGGAGAUAAUAAUAGCUACCACUUACUUGUGUAUAAGAAUGAAAAUUGUCCUGUUAAGUACCUAGCACAAUGCCUAGCACAUAAAAAAUAUCCAACAAAUAUAUUUAAAAAAUAAAUAUCCAUUAUUGUAAUUUAUAAAUGAUAGCCUGAUGCAGUCAGUGUAGUGUGAGGCAAACUGUAAUGGUUAUGAAUUGUUGAGAGCUUGGAAUUUCUGUAGUUGGAAGCUCUGAAAAUGAAGUAUUGUAGAAUGACUUGAUGGAGUAUGAAAUUUUUCUUGUAAGCCUGGGUGAUUGGGGUAAAGCAGGGGUUCUCCACCAGAAGCAGUUUUGCCCCCAGGGAACAUUCGGCAAUGUUUGGAGAAGACUGCCCCUGCCCUGCCCCGGAACUUUCCAGCAGGGGGAAGGGGGAGAAAGAUGCUAUUGACCGCAGCUGGGUAGAAGGCAAGGAUGUUGCUAAAUAUUUUACAUUGCACAAGCCAAACCCCCACAAUAGUUAUUCAACCCAAAAUGCCAUUAGUGCAAAACUUGAGAAAUCCCGGAGUAGAGGAAUGGGGACCGGGCAGCCAAGAAUAGUAAGAGGAAAUUGGUAGGUAUAGCUCUCUGAUUAUGAGAAGCCCAGAAUUUGGACAAAAUAUUAAAAUAAGAUGAUGGCCUAGUGCAGCCAUAGCUCUAGCCUUAUGCAGUCUAGACCCACAACCCUAACAUGCCUUUCUAAGAUGUCAGUCUUUUCAAUAUUCCCCAUGUCAUGUAUGAACUCAAUGAAUCCUGCCUAAGGUUUGCAUGUUUUUGCACCUCUCUUAUUUGCUUAUGUUGCCUCUAUGGAAAACAUGGCCUCUUUGGUCCAGUCUCCAGGUAGGGAUUCUGUCAGAGAAACAGGCAAUCAAAGGUGAAUUUAAAGUGAUCUAACAACUUCUGUUCUUUAACUGUCAAAGCAUGGUAAAGGGGAUGUGUCAUCUCUAGCAAUACUUCCAGAAAUCCCAAUUUUUUCCCCCAUCUACUUUGAUGUUGCUAACGUGUCUCUUCCAAAAUCUCCUCAAAACUCCCACUGGUAAAACCCCUCCCCGAACCCAAGCCCAUCUCUUCUACCUAUUCUCUGUCUUUUGAUUGUGUGUC